GCGUCGGUAGUGCAACGAUCAGCACGCGCUCCCGGAGAGAGUGAGAUCUGAGUUCGAAUCCCGGUUGAUGUA